rnacentral:sRNA from 1 species
GGCAGUUCCCAAACCAGAUCUGGAUUCUUACGUGUUUCUGAGAGUGAGAGAACGACAAGAAAACAUACUGGUAGAACCAGACACAGAUGAGCAGAGGGACUACGUGAUUGACCUGGAGAAGGGCUCACAGCACUUGAUCCGAUACAAAACCAUUGCACCUCUGGUUGCAUCUGGAGCUGUCCAGCUAAUUUAAAACUAGGCAUAAACAGCCAGGCAUGGUGGCUCAAGCCUGUAAUCCCAGCACUUUGGGAGGCCGAGGCGGGCGGAUCAUGAGGUCAGGAGUUCGAGACCAACCGGACCAACAUGGUGAAACCCCAUCUUUACUAAAAAUACAAAAUAAUUAGCUGGGUGUGGUGGUGUGCACCUGUAAUCCCAGCUACUCAGGAGGCCGGGGCAGGAGAAUCGCUUGAACCUGGGAGCAGGAGGUUGCAGUGAGCUGAGGUCGUGCCAUUGCACUCCAGCCUGGGUGACAGUGAGACUUUGUCUCAAAAAACAAAAAACAAAAAAAAA